UGAACACUUAUUGUUGGAUGAGAGCACGAACAGCGUGUUUUCUGAUUGGCUGUUAGGCCUACGUGAGGUUGGGCCCCAGUUAUCGUCCGUGCAAUGCACACAAUCACGUUGCUAUUGGCUGCCACUCUAUGGUAAAAUCACUGCGAAUAUGAGCUAGCAUAUAUUAUUUCUGCAGUUUUAAGAAACAACGGAAAUAACAAGAAACGGAAGAAGACAAACAGCGGAUCAGCCAGCAAUGUUUUUCAUGAUUUGAAAAGGAGAAUUUUGUAGGUCUAUUAUGCCAUAAGAACAGUUCUUAGCGGGGAGAGAAGCAGUCGCCGUGGAGGACAGCCUUCAAGACCUAUGCCUCGUGGAAAGACCAGGUGCAACUGAUUGGCUCAACUAUUUAAGAGUGUCAGUAGGGAGAGGGGGGAAGGAAGGUGAGCCACUAACAUGUGUACUGCUGGUGUUUUUAAAAUAAAUUAUUAGUCCUUUUUACAAGUCUUGCUUUACUCAGUUGUUUAAGUCUUUUUUUACAUUUGGGGUCAGAAGUGGGAUUUAGGCCCUAUCCCUGUGGGGUGACCUGCUUUUAAAAGAUUUUUAUACUGAGCUGUUAUACCGAGAAGCAGGGCGCUGCAUUUCACAUCGAGGUGUUCCGAGGGAGGAUCCAGGUGGGGCUGAAGAUGGACCAGGGAGACUCCAGACAGAGCAAUGAUUGGGUGGGGAGCUGUGGCUGCCUCUGUCGGAACAGGUAAUGGUCUGGAGUCCUGUGGGACAGUAACUCUGAAAACCAGUAUGAGGAGCCCAUAGCCCAAUGGGAGGUGGUGUCCUGGCCCUGCAGAAUGAUUGAUGCCAGAGGGAGGAGCUACCAGGUGUCCCUAAUCAGAGGGCUAUCCUCGACAAUCUGGGAGGAGCUACCCAGUUUUUUUUUAUUUUUUAUUUUUUAUUUUAUUUUUUUUUUUUUCUUCCUCCUCCUUAUGGACAAUUCUUGGUGGAAUGCAAUGUUUUAAAUUGACUGCUUGGGAAGCACCUGCCCCUCUUGCAAACCAGUUUGCAAGACUGGAGAGGGGGGAGGAAAUGUGAAGGAGUGGCCCUUCACUAGUUUAAUUGUUUAAUUGAUUCAGUUUAAUUACUAAUUAGUUGUUUAAUGUAACUUGAUUGUAACCAGGUGCAACUGAUUAGCUCAACUAUUUGAGUCAGUAGGAACAGGGGGAGAGAAGGUGAGCCAUGUCUAUCAUUUGUACUGCUGGUGUUUAAAAUAAAUGCAUCGAAGUCUUGUUA